rnacentral:rRNA from 1 species
GACGAACGCUGGCGGCGUGCUUAACACAUGCAAGUCGAACGGAAAGGCCCUGCUUUUGUGGGGUGCUCGAGUGGCGAACGGGUGAGUAACACGUGAGUAACCUGCCCUUGACUUUGGGAUAACUUCAGGAAACUGGGGCUAAUACCGGAUAGGAGCUCCUGCUGCAUGGUGGGGGUUGGAAAGUUUCGGCGGUUGGGGAUGGACUCGCGGCUUAUCAGCUUGUUGGUGGGGUAGUGGCUUACCAAGGCUUUGACGGGUAGCCGGCCUGAGAGGGUGACCGGCCACAUUGGGACUGAGAUACGACCCAGACUCCUACGGGAGGCAGCAGUGGGGAAUAUUGCACAAUGGGCGGAAGCCUGAUGCAGCAACGCCGCGCGCGGGAUGACGGCCUUCGGGUUGUAAACCGCUUUCGCCUGUGACGAAGCGUGAGUGACGGUAAUGGGUAAAGAAGCACCGGCUAACUACGUG